AACUGUUUCUUUUCGACGCGGUCGGCGGUCGCGAACGUGUUUUGACAGCGCGCGUUGGCCCACACUCCACGUGCUAAAAUUCAGAUUACCCGUACCCCAGCAGUCAAGAUGCGGAUGCUGAAUCCUACGCCAUCCGAGUUCAUGGGCAUGAUUCUUCGCAUCCUCCGUUACGUCUUAGAAUGUGUCCCUGAUAUGACACAAUCCAAGAAGAAACAGAUGAUCCGCAUAACGAAGAAGCUAUUGACCAUCAAAAGGGCGAUUCUGAAGAGAAACAAACGAAAGCACACCCGAAGGCAAAGCCGUUACAUGAAGGUUGUAACCUGAAAAAUCGAGAAAAAUUAAAUGUGCUGUUUACGUUCGUUUUUGCAGGUUAACUGCAACGCGUGUGCUUGACGGAUUUAAAUUCUAGCUCGAGUAUCAAUUUCACAUGGAUUUUCGAGGCACGAAAGUCUUCGACUUUGUGUCGGCGACGCGAAAUCUUACCGAGAACGCGAGAAAGGACAAAUUCGCACGGAUCGAGUGGCAUCGCGAUUAUCGAUGGUUGUGCGACAAAUACGUAGAGUUGGGGAGAAAAUUGAACGAUUUGUGCGAUGAAAAAAGAUCUUACGAAACGCACAGCACGGCGGGACGCGAAGACAAAAGAACUUGCCUCCCGUUUCCUGAAACUACUAACCAACAAUACGGUUGGCUCUCUCGCAGACCAGACUUUCAGCUGGAAAACUACGGAAGCUACAUCGUCAAGUAUCCCAACCCUAUGGACGAGAUCGUGCUCCUCGAGGGCGACGUUCCCACCUUGGCUGUCGGAAAGGGAUUUCUGCUUUGAUCGACUCACCUUCGCAAAUACCGGUUCGUUCGUUGCUGAAACCAGGAGCGCAAAUGCAGUCCCUCGACGAGGUCGCCGGAACCUUCCUGGUCACCUGAUUGGCGUCUGGACAGGCCACGCACACCACCGACAAGUCUCUGGAACUUUUGCGCAUGCCGUAUGUACCGUUGGGGCAUGCUGGAAUCAAAGUGCUUAGUCUUAUACUCUAACAAAAUGCGUUGAAAAAAUGUGCUACACAAGCGAUGGACGAAUCACGCGGAUAAAUCAAGAAGCGUAAGACGCUCUCGAGCGUCCUAAAUCGCUGCGUAUCUAGAAAGCGUCGUCGGCGAAAUCAUAGGAUUGACUAUCGCGCGCCGCGAAAGUGUGCGCAGCGCAGCACACAUACCUAUAUACAGAUACCAUACAGUCAAUGGA